ACGAGUGGCGGACGGGUGAGUAAUGCGUAGGAAUCUACCUAAUUGUGUGGGAUAGCCUAGGGAAACUUAGGGUAACACCGCAUAAGCCCUACGGGGGAAAGCAGGGGACUGUUAAAGGCCUUGCGCGAUUAGAUGAGCUUACGUCGGAUUAGCUAGUUGGUGGGGUAAAGGCCUACCAAGGCGAUGAUCCGUAGCUGGUCUGAGAGGACGACCAGCCACACUGGGACUGAGACACGGCCCAG
rnacentral:rRNA from 1 species